rnacentral:lncRNA from 1 species
UUCAGUGUAGCAUUUGACACGAUAUAAGCAGUGGCGGAUCUUGCCGAAAAUAUUGGGGGGAGCGGUAAAUAUGAACUAAAUAUUAUAAUUGAAAUUCAUAAAAGUUAUAUACAAUUUCAUCCAAAAAAUAUCACCGCAAUAACUCAAACACGAGACUAAAGCUCCAAAUAUACUAUAUACCAACUAGAGAGAUAACAUAUCCUAAACUUAGAGGAUCAAAACCAGUCAGAUGCUUGCCACAUGCAUAAUAGAAAAACAAUCGUACCAGACUGCUACAUAUAGAUAAACAUAGGAGACAUUUACCUCAAUUUAAAAUUUAACGGUUCGGUCUUUUUUAGACUUGAACUCGUCAAUAAUUGAAUCAGUACUAAAUUGAUCAGCUAUUUCUUUUUCAAUAUAAAGCAUCAUACUGUCAGCAAGAAAUUCAUCCUCCAUCUUGUUACGCAAUCUUGUCUUGAUUAACUUCAUUGCUGAAAAUGAUCUUUCUGUAGUAGCUGUAGAAACCGGAAGAGUUAAGAUAAGGCGGAUUAAACAAUCAACCAAGUAAUGUGUAUCCGCCUUCCUUGUCGUAUUGAGAGCUUCACACAAUUCAGACAUAGUUGACAACUUAUUCAAACCUGGAUGACUAACAUCAUCAAGAUGGAAGUAAUGAAGAUGAUAUCUCAAACUUUUUUUGUCUUGCUCACCGAAAUCUAAUGGAUAAAAUUUAUGUACAAGAGCACAUAUAUUAUCUAUAUCAAAUGCUUUGUAAACAUCCUUAGGAACCAAACUAUUGCUUAGAAUUAAAAGCUCCAUUGUUUCCGGACAAAACCUGUGAUUCAAUUCCUGCAAUUGUUGAUCAAUUGUAACACAAAAGAUAUUCACUCUAAAAUGUUGACCCACUGUGAUGUGAUCCAUUUGAUGACGAGCACGACCUUCACGCUCUAUGUAAUCAACAUUACAAUCAGGGGAAUAAAUGUCGUGUUUUUCACAAAAUAAUAUUUACAUUUUUCAACAAAUCAUCCCAACCAUCAUCUCUCAACUUCUGAAUUAAAGUUUUUGUAUAGCUGACUAAUUGCAUAACAUUAAGUAUAUCUUGGGAUUUCUGUUGCAAAGCUUGACAAAGACGAUCUGUAAUUCCCAUAAUCUCUUUCAUGAUGUGCAAAAUCAAUGUGAACUCAAAUGAUUUUUCAAAAGUUUAUAACCAACAUUAGCAUCCCCACGCGUAGUAUAACUUGAUCCAGUCUUCCUAAUUUCUUGAAGAACCACACAAGUUGGAUUAUGCAGAUUUAUCAUACUACAAAUAGAACCAAAAUGUGAGCUCCAACGAGUAUCUCCAGCUCGUUUAUGAUUGCUUUUCUGAUUUUGUCCUUUACCACUCUUAAUUUCACCAAUCUCUAGCAAAUUAAUAAUCUCAGCUGAUAUGGCCUUUUGCAAUUCAUCAUUACGCUUAGUAGAGGAACAUGCAACAUUGACAAUAAAAGUCAAGUGAGAAAAAAAAUCAUGAAUAGCGAAAACUUCUCUAGACGCAAUAACCAAAGCAAGUUGUAGUCUAUGUGCAAAACAAUGAAUGUAAUAAUCAUAAGGACAAUCUUCGAGAAAUAAUGCUUGCAAUCCAUUUCAUUCUCCCCUUGUAUUACUAGCACCAUCAUACCCUUGCCUGCGGAUAUCUGAAACAUUAAGACCAUGCAUAGAAAGAACAUCACAAACUUCUUUUUUAAGUGUGAUAGCCAUGGUGUCAUCUACAUGCACAAGCUCAAAAAAUCGUUCUUGUAUGCAACCAUGUUUAUCCACAAACCUCAAUAAUAGCCAUUUGCUCCCUAAGAGAUUCAUCACACGAUUCGUCAACAAUUAUGAAAAAUUUAGAAUCUCCAAUCUCUUCCCGAAUGUAGUGUUUCACUUUACAAGACAUGAUUUGCAAAAGUUCCUUUUGAACUGCAUGAGAUGUAUACUUUCCGUUAUAUGGAGCAUUCUCUAGCACUACUUUAGCAAGUUCAUCAUUGUAUGAUGCUAACAAUUUAACCAUUUCAAGAAAGUUACCUCUAUUCUUUGAACUAGGUUUUUCGUCAUGGCCUCUAAAAGCACAAGCUUGAAAAGUGAGGCAACGAACUGAAUCGAUAGAGCACCUGAGACGAAGUAUAUUAUGGAGGAUUUGCUCGGAACUUUGCUCAUUAAGUGCAAAUCUGAUGUUCAUAGAUUGAUUGAACAAGUCUUGAGAAGCUUUCACUGCAUUAUUGUGAGAUGAACAAGGACUCUCUCCAAUAUGUUUAAGAAAAGCACAACACUUUCAAGAAUUGAUUUUUCUCCAUGCUUUAAAUCCUUUUCUAGUAAAGACGUCAGCUGUAGGAUUCCCAUUUGGUUUUUCACUAGACAAGUAACAAAGCAAACAAUAAGCAGCAUCAUUUGUUGGAGAGUACUCUAGCCAUGAAGGGAAUAUUUUGAACCAAGAUGCUUGAAAUCGUCUUGGAUGCUUAUCUUCAUUAAGAGGAUAUUUUUCAGCUACCCAUUGAUAAGGACCCCAAUUAAGAUAAGCUCUACGAACUUCAUCUCUUUGAUUCACCGGAUAUUCCCAAAUUUGGAGGCGCUUCCCGGGGUCACGUUCUAAACGAUUGACAUCAAAGUUCUCCACAAUGACUCUUUGAAUCUUGCAAGGCUGCUCGUCCGGUUGAACUGUUUGAUCACCGGAAGGGUUCUGUUCGAGAUUUGAUGUUGAAGCUAUACAAUUUGCAUCUUCCUCAGGGACAUGAAGUAUUCUUUUAUAAAAUGCUUCAAGUUUCUUAUGUCUGACUUUCCUCAUACUCCUACAAAAUGCACAAUUCACACAUAAAUUAUGAGUAACAAAAUCAAACUAGAAAUGGUGAAUAUGAGCACUGACUUGAGCAUGUAAUUAAAAAAAAAACAUUAUCAAAGAACACAAAACAAAGAGUAAUAAUCAGUACAGUACAUAAUCAUGUCUUGUUCAAAAUAUGAAUUAAGCCACUAUGUUCUAAGUUCUAAAAAUAGAAUUGAAUUGAAUCAGCAGCAUAGGAACAGAAUAGAAUUGAAUCAAACAACAUAGAAAAUCAAGGAUUAAGUUUCCCCCAAUUUUUUAUUUCUAGGGUUCAAGGCUUCAAGCAAACUGAAGUGAAAAGGAAUCAAAUCAAAGGAAUGAAAUUAUAACUAUUAAGAGAACAAACUGAAGUGAAAGGAAUCAAAAUCAAAGGAAUGAAACAUAGAAUGACAGGGAGAAGAACAAACCUGAACUAAAAAUCAAGAAAACAACAAACUGAAGUGAGGUGUAUGAGAGUUCAGAGGAGCACCGUGCUGCUGCUGCCUCCACAUCGUCGUCUGUCGCAUCGCCGAAGGAGAAGAGUGGGGAGACCAUGAGAGCCUGAGAGGUGAGAAGAAUGCGUUUUGAUAUGCGAGGAUGGAGAGGAGAGGGAGUACCGAGAGAGAGACAGACAAAAACAAGUGUGAAUCCAGGGGGUACUAUAGUAGUUUUCAGUAUACAAAUUAUUAUUUUUUUACUAGGGGGUGCCACGGCACCUGGGGGUCUCAAUAGAGAUCCGCCCCUGGAUAUAAGAGUAGUAGACAAGCGGUGGGUGAAAUAGCAUAAUACAAAAGCAGGAGGUAAUAUGUUAACAUAGAAUCAAUGUGUACAUAUCCUAAGUGAGCGUGUAUUCUUUAAACUUUCAUCCAGUAUAAUUUCAGGUUCCAUUGUAUUACAUGCCACUUGCGAUAUGUAUUGUAAAUUUAGGAAAUCAUGAACCAGAAGGAAAAUAAAGACUUCAAGUCUAAACCAUCCCAGCCCAGUAAAUGUAUCCCAAAUAAUAAUGCUUGAAAAAUAAUUAGUUAUUCAAUAGUAAUACAUUAAGCUAGUUUAUUG